rnacentral:rRNA from 1 species
AGCAAACAGGAUUAGAUACCCUGGUUGUCCACGCUUUAAACGAUGUCGAUUUAGAGGUUGUGGUCUUGAACCGUGGCUUCUGGAGCUAACGCGUUAAAUCGACCGCCAGGGGAGUACGGCCGCAAGGUUAAAACUCAAAUGAAUUGACGGGGGCCCGCACAAGCGGUGGAGCAUGUGGUUUAAUACGAUGCAACGCGAAGAACCUUACCUACUCUUGACAUCCAGCGAAUCCUUUAGAUAUAGAGUAG